UACUGUGUUUUUCUCAAAGUAAACAAACUUCUUUAUUUUUGGAGUUUCAUUUCAAUUUUUCUUUUGUUAGGGUUGAUUCUGCACCACAGUGUUGCAGUAGCCUCCCAACUCUCUCUCUCUCUCUCUCUCUCUCUCUCUUUAGGAUCUGGGGCGACUAUGUUUCCUAAUUCGAGCGAUGGAAUUGACGAUGCUUCGAUAUUUUUGGAGCAAGAUAAAUUACUGGAAGAUCUGCUUGCAGAUUGUCCCAUUUUAGAUGGCAAUGACAAUACUAAAAAGAGUGUCAAAAAGAGGCCCAUUGAAGUUGAAGAAAACAGCAAUGGCAGCAGCGAAUCCAAGAAGACUGCUCAUAGAUUUACUGAGAAGCAGAGAAGGCAAGAAAUGGCAGCCCUUUAUGCUUCUCUCAGAUCCCUUCUCCCUCUUGAAUACAUCAAGGGAAAGCGCGCUAUAUCUGAUCAUAUGCACCAGGCCGUGAAUUACAUCAACGAUAUGAAGAAGAAAAUCGAAGAACUGAAACCAAGGAGAGAGGGUUUGAGGAAUGUAGUAGGAACUGCUGAUGAAGCUGAGAGUCAAACCUCAAAUGCUACUGAUUCCUCGCCUUACUGUGUUAAGAUAAAUGUAUUCACAGAUGGGGUUGAGAUCUUGAUUAGUAGUAGCCUCAAUAAAGGAUGUUUCCCUCUUUCUAUGGUGCUUGCCGAUUUGCUUAAUAGACAGCUCGAUGUAAUCAACUGCGUUUCUUCAAGAGGCGACCAAUGUUACCUCCACAAAAUUCACAUUCAGCUUAAUGAUUCUGCAAGCAUUGAUCUAUCUGAGCUACAAGAGGGACUGGUGAAUGUGCUUAAACUUGGUUGACGGCAGCUGCACUAUGUAAAGUUUUAAACAUAUUUUUGUUAGCUUGAACUUAAUUAGUGUAUUUUAAACAAUGUUAUUUGAUUUUUUGAAGCUCAGAUUUUUUCUAUUUGCUCAUUUUCAUAUCCUUAGUAUCCCUAGCUAGGUAUUUGUUUGUGCCAUAAUGCUAAUCAUAUAUACAUCAUGAUGAGAUUUCCAUUAAGAGGGUGUUUGACUAAGUUUAUUUUAAAGAGCUUAUAAGUUUCUAGGUGUCACAGCCCGACCUAAGCUAGUGAAUAGUUAAGUCGGGAAAAAGUGUGACUGAAAACAAAAUAACAAAAUAAUAAACAAUCUUUUCUAAAACUCAAAAGCAGACAACUCACAAUACAUAACGACAAGUUGUCUAUGUAUCAAGUGACAUAAUUCUGUAAGCUAUUAGUUUGAAAUCUUUGCAACAUAUCAAUAAAGUAAAACGCACUAAGCGUUGCAGCGGAAUAGCUUAAGUGGAUUACAUGUAUGAAGACAUGGAAUCUUGAGCCUAAUUUAGUACUUAUAUAUCAAAAGCUUUGCUCUGCUGACAUCCAUCUGCAUCACAGCUUAACCUGCACAUUUAGAAAACAUAUGCAGGGCUGAGUACUCAAAAGCACUCAAUGGUCACAUGCCGAAAUAACUUGAAAGCUUGCUCUUAGAGCUAUAUAUUGAACUUGCCAUCUCAAGCAUCACAUAGGAGUUUUAUUUAAAUAACAUGUGCACGCCAAAACUGUAAAACUUCUAUAUAUAUAUAUAUAUAUAUAUAUAUAUAUAUAUAUAUAUAUCAUCAUAACAUCAUAUACGUCUGCAGACAUACUUCUUUGUAUUAUACCAUAUCUGCAAUGAUAACUGUGUGCCGAGAAGGUGGCCACCUUCUACGGUCACUGACCGGCCGAUACGCUAAACCGGCUCACGGUCCUAGACCGGCCGAUACGCUAAACCGGCUCACGGUCCUAGGCCGGCCGAUAUGCUUGAUCGGCUCACGGUCCCUUGUGUACACUAAUCCUGUCUAACAUCUUGAUAGAACAGGAUCCGAAUUCGAUUAACUUCUGGUGCCAGAUAGGUAUCAUAUUAGCUCACAAAAUUUUUGGCAAGUCAAUAACUUUAAUUAAUAUAACUUCAUUCAUGUAAACAUUAUGAAAUAAUAUGCACUUCAGAUUUUGAGUUUAGAAAGCCCACCUGAUCGUGGUCUGACAACACUAGUAAUUCUGAACUAUUGCUUUACCCUUGCUUGUAUCUGACCUUCAGUAUAAAAACUGACUAAUAAAUAAUGAGGAAAUGAUAGGGACUUGAUUUAUAAAGAAUGCUUAUGUUGGUUUUAAGAUGAUAGCUCUAUUGAAAUUAUGGUAUAAAGACUAGUUGCUAUUUAGCAAACUUAUCAACAAAUACCAACAUAAACUUAAACUGCAAUACUCAUAACUCUAGCGUUAAUCAUAACUCUACUCAUUCUAAUUUACUCCCUCCGUCCGUCAAGAUUAUGUAAAAAUUACUAUAUUUGGCGUCCGCCAAGAUUAUGUCACUUUCCUUUUAUGGAAAUGGUCCCACAAUCCUCUUUAAUAUUUUAUCUUUACUAACACUCUUUAUUUACAAAAAACUCACUCAAAAUUCAAUCUCAACCACACAUUUCAUAAAGUGGUGGGACCCUUUCUCCACUACAUCAAAAUCAUCACCAAUUUUAUUAAAUCUCGUGCCCAAUCAAUUUUACAUAAUUUUGGCGGACGGAGGGAGUAAUAAAUAGCUAUUAACUGGAAAUAAUAUAAAUCUAUUUUUCUCUUCUUUCAAGAAUUUGAUUCUAUAAUAAUCUAGUGUCUAAUUUAUGCAUAAUUACAUAGAGUAAUAGCAUAAUUUAAUUAUAUGUCUAGGCCAUUUAAUAAAUCAAGCCAAUUAUUAGCAAAUAGCUAAUAAUCCUUUAUACAUAUUUAUAGGCUUAAAUUAAAAUAAACUCAUCUCAAUUAAAUGAAUUAAGGACCCAAACCAAUAAUUAAGUCCAUAAUCUAAUUUAUUACUAAGGUCCAAUAGCAAUUAAUGGCCUAAGUAUUAUUUAAACCCAAUAUGAAAUUCUCAAAGCCCAAUUAAUCAAAAUAAAUUAAAAACUAAAUAGAACUUAAGUCUAGAAUAUACUAAAGUCAACAUCUCUCUUCUUCCUUCUUUUUCUUUUUACGCAGACUCCAUUUCUCUCUGUUCUCUCACCUGCGUCUCUCACUUUCCCUCUCCCUCUCGCCCGGCGACGUCGCCAGUCCUCGCCGCCUCCGGCGCGGCGAGGCCGGCGUCUCUCUCCCCUUCUUCUUCCUUUCCUUCCCUUUUCCCCAAUUCUUAAUUCAAAAUCAACCUAGGGUUUCUAAUUUUCCCCCCCUUCAACUCCAGUCAACCGGCGAGUUUCACUGCCACCGUUGUCCCCGUCGCACUGCCACCUACUCCAUCUCAGCGGCCGCUGCGAGCCGCAGCGGCGCAUGCAGCGCCGGCGGUCGUCGCCGCUCUGCUCUUCUCUCCCUGCCUCUAUCUCGCUCUACUUUCUCUCAUGUCCGUGUCUCUCUGUCUUUGUCUUACUCUCUGUGCUACUGGCGGCCACCGCGGACCGCCGUGGCGUGGGCAGUGCCGGCGGUCGCUGCCGCCAGUCGCGCCUCCGUCGCGGUGGCUCGCGGUUGCUGCUGCUGCUGCUGCCAUCCUUUCCCCUGUUCUAAUUAUUUUCCUUCUUCUUUUCUCUUUUUCUUUAUUUUCUAUUUCAAUAACCUAUUUCAGUUCUAAUACCUCAAACUAAUCAAUCCCUAGUUUUUCUAUUUCAGGAAUCCAUGAUUCAGGGUGUCUCUCGGAGUGGCUACUGCUCAAGAUCCGAUUUUUAUGUGUGAUAAAUCUAUUUCUUUAUUGUUAUUAAGAAAUUGAAACUGUGUUUAUGAAGUCAGAAUUGCAAAUGUGAUUAUAGUUAUUACUCAUCACAGUUCUUGGUUGCUGCCUUUAUGAUAUAAAGUUAACUGUAUUGAAAAGAAA